rnacentral:rRNA from 1 species
GACAGAGGGUGCAAACGUUGUUCGGAAUUACUGGGCGUAAAGCGAGUGUAGGCGGUCCUAUAAGUCGGGUGUGAAAGCCCCGGGCUCAACCCGGGAAGUGCACUCGAAACUGCAGGGCUAGAGUAUCGGAGAGGUUGGUGGAAUUCUCGGUGUAGAGGUGAAAUUCGUAGAUAUCGAGAGGAACACCGGUGGCGAAGGCGGCCAACUGGACGAAUACUGACGCUGAGACUCGAAAGCGUGGGGAGCAAACAGG